UAAUCAGUUAUCGUUUAUUUGAUAGUACCUCGCUACUUGGAUACCUGUGGUAAUUCUAGAGCUAAUACAUGCUAAAAACCUCGACUUCGGAAGGGGUGUAUUUAUUAGAUAAAAAACCAAUGCCCUCCGGGGCUCCUUGGUGAUUCAUAAUAACUAAACGAAUCGCAUGGCCUUGCGCCGGCGAUGGUUCAUUCAAAUUUCUGCCCUAUCAACUUUCGAUGGUAGGAUAGUGGCCUACCAUGGUUUCUACGGGUAACGGGGAAUUAGGGUUCGAUUCCGGAGAGGGAGCCUGAGAAACGGCUACCACAUCCAAGGAAGGCAGCAGGCGCGCAAAUUACCCAAUCCCGACACGGGGAGGUAGUGACAAUAAAUACUGAUCCAGGGCUCUUUCGGGUCUUGUAAUUGGAAUGAGUACAAUUUAAAUCCCUUAACGAGGAACAAUUGGAGGGCAAGUCUGGUGCCAGCAGCCGCGGUAAUACCAGCUCCAAUAGCGUAUAUUAAAGUUGUUGCAGUUAAAAAGCUCGUAGUUGAAACUUGGGCCUGGCUGACCGGUCCGCCUCACCGCGUGCACUGGUUCGGCCGGGCCUUUCCUUCUGGGGAUGCGCAUGC
rnacentral:rRNA from 1 species